rnacentral:rRNA from 1 species
GACGAACGCUGGCGGCGUGCUUAACACAUGCAAGUCGAACGGAAAGGCCCCCACCUUGGUGGGGGUGCUCGAGUGGCGAACGGGUGAGUAACACGUGGGUGAUCUGCCCUGUACUUCGGGAUAAGCUUGGGAAACUGGGUCUAAUACCGGAUAGGACCAUGGUUUAGUGUCUCAUGGUGGAAAAAUUAUUGUUUUGGUGCAGGGUGAGCUCGCGGCCUAUCAGCUUGUUGGUGGGGUAAUGGCCUACCAAGGCGUCGACGGGUAGCCGGCCUGAGAGGGUGGACGGCCACAUUGGGACUGAGAUACGGCCCAGACUCCUACGGGAGGCAGCAGUGGGGAAUAUUGCACAAUGGGCGCAAGCCUGAUGCAGCGACGCCGCGUGGGGGAUGACGGCCUUCGGGUUGUAAACUCCUUUCGUUAGGGACGAAGCCACACCUUUUUUGGGUGUGGUGACGGUACCUUUGUGAAGAAGCACCGGCUAACUACGUG